rnacentral:lncRNA from 1 species
UAAGAGUACAAUUUUCUUAUAUCCUUUUUGAAAUUAGUUUGUGAUGAGUCUAGAGGCUGAUGGCUAGUGAUUGUAGAGGGUGAAUACUCAGGUUUCAAUAAUAGAAUGGGGAUUGUUACAUAUGUGGAAUAUUACAUGAAGCCCAGUGAUUCAUGACCUUGUGUGGCAUCAAUAGAUGUAAUAUUCCACACAAUGUGAUGGAUGGCCAAAAUAUUUGUGCCAGACAUCAACAUAUGCACCUUA